rnacentral:rRNA from 1 species
GUCCACGCCCUAAACUAUGGAUACUCGACAUACGCGAUACACAGUGUGUGUCUGAGCGAAAGCAUUAAGUAUCCCACCUGGGAAGUACGAUCGCAAGAUUGAAACUCAAAGGAAUUGGCGGGGUCCGCACAAGCGGUGGAGCAUGUGGUUUAAUUUCGAUGAUACGCGAGGAACCUUACCUGGGCUAGAAUGCUGGGAGACCGUGGGUGAAAGCUCAUUUGUUAGCAAUACACUGCCAGUAAGGUGCUGCAUGGCUGUCGU